rnacentral:lncRNA from 1 species
AUGGCACCCUGCCAGAAUGGCAUGAUCCUGAUGCCUCACUUCCACAAGAAGUGGCAGUAGCAGUUUGGUUCAGCCAGCUGACCCAAAAGAUCCACAGAUGCAAGACCCAGCAAGCAAAAGCACACCACCAUUGCCUAUCAUCCUGCAUCUGGACCCAUCUAGCCCAUAGUAGGAUGUCCCACAGGGAGAUAUCACACCAAAGUAUAAGCUAGCAGAAGCUUCAGCUUAGAAGAGUUAAGGUGGCCAGCAUCCACACGGUGACCCGGACCUUUGGUAUCUGUGGAUCCAAGGAGACAUUAGAACAAGUCGGGUGAGUCCUGAAAUGCCAGCAACUCCAGUUGAAGGAGUACUGCUACAAGCUCAUCCGCUUCCCCAGGAAGCCCUUGGACCCCACGAAGGAAGACAGCUCUGCUGAACUCAAAUUGGCAACCCAGCUGACAGGACCAGUAAUGUGCAUAUCAGUGUCUUCAAGGAGAAAGCCAGAGUCAUCACCAAGGAGAAGUUCUUUA